CCUACGUGAGGCAGCAGGGAGGAAUAUUGGUCAAUGGACGAGAGUCUGAACCAGCCAAGUAGCGUGAAGGAUGACUGCCCAAGGGGUUGUAAACUUCUUUUAUAGGGGAAUAAAAUGUUCCAAGUGUGGGAUUUUGUAUGUACCAUAUGAAUAAGGAUCGGCUAACUCCGUGCCAGCAGCCGCGGUAAUACGGAGGAUCCGAGCGUUAUCCGGAUUUAUUGGGUUUAAAGGGAGCGUAGGUGGAUUGUUAAGUCUGUUGUGAAAGUGUGCGCCGCAACGGUAAAAUUGCAGUUGAAACUGGCAGUCUUGAGUGCAGUAGAGGUGGGCGGACUGCGUGGUGUAGCGGUGAAAUGCUUAGAUAUCACGAAGAACACCGAUUGCGAAGGCAGCUCACUGUACUGCGACUGACACUGAGGCUCGAAAGUGUGGGUAUCAAACAGGAUUAGAUACCCCGGUAGUC
rnacentral:rRNA from 1 species